CGUGCUUGUCGGGGAUGGGUGGGGUGCAAAGCGAUACCCCCACCACCAGGACGACGCUGGCAAGGAAGAGGAUGAUGGCGAAGUACAGGACUGGCUGCUGCCUUGUCUUUGGUGUGAGAUCUGCGGUACGACUGACCUGGGGUUUCCACCUUUGGCUCCCAAACAAAACAAAGAAUCAUGGACAUUUAAUACCCAAAAAGUAUUUGCAUGGACCUGUAUUUAAAAUUUGAUUUAGUUAAAUUUUAUAUGCUCUUCUUUUGUUAUGUUAAUGGGAAGCAAUGGUUAUUAAAAUUUGUGCUUCUAAACAGUUAACAGAAGUGGAAUAGGUAUCACAAGCAAAUUCAAACUAAAAAGCUUUGUAAAAAUUCUGUUAUCAACUCGUUUGCCAAAACUCAGCAAGGGAAAGCAAUACACCUUCUCACAGAAGAUUGUGAGCAUCUAUUUUAGCUGUUAAGCAUUUUAUUUAGAAUAAAAUAUUAGUACUGCACCUCAACUGAAAAUGAAUGUCUACUCAACAAUUGCAGAAGUAUAGCUUGUGUUAUAAAAGACUUGGUCUCUAUUACAUUGUCCCUAUUACACUGCAAAUAAACUAAGGUGAACUUUGUAUUAAGUUUGAGUUAUUGAAAACACAAAAAACUUUACUAUGUUAACUAACAAAAGUUGUUUAAGUUGCAUCCCACAGACCAAAGACACCAGAAGAUCUCACACUACAAAAACACCAGAUGAUAUCAGUAUCCAGUGAAGAAACACCCCCCAAGCAUCAAGAAAAGAAAAAUGAAGUGCUUUGUAUCUAAGAGCCUGGUCAAAUACACUUCAAUCUACCCUAUUCAGUUGGCAAUCAGCUAGAAAUCACUGUCAGUUAAUUUGAAUUUGGCUUCUGCAUAAAAGCAACUAUUAUUGCUGUA